CUAAAAUGUAUAUAUACCUUAUCAACUCUUCUUUUCUAUUCAAUUUAAAUAGAAUUUUUUGAAUAAAUUGGACUUGUCAAAAUUGCUCAUAUUUAGACCAAAUCUUGUUGUUUUUCAGUAUCGUCAUGUAAAUUUAAUGUUCGAGUAAAAACAAAAAGCUGCCACCGUAUAGAAUAAUACAGUGAAACUGAUUUGCAUAUGCCACAGGUUGGAAUAUACUGCAUUUAUAUUGACAAUAUGUACAGAUAUAGAUAUCAUUUGCACAAUUUACACUUGAAAUUAGCAUAGGCUAAUCAAAUUGCUUAGCCGAGGGGCGGGGCAGCAGCUUUGACGCAGGCCAGGCCCCGCAAGAGCCGCUCGAAGGAAAGGCCCCGAAACGAAAUAAAAUGGGUGUGUGUGCUAAACAAUUUGCUUCAUAAAUUUACUACAUUCGAUUAGCAUCACAUUUCAUGUGGAUGAUUUGUAUGUACGCUCAAAUUGAAUUUGAAAUAUAUAACACAAAGUCGUGCACGCUUUUGGAUUCUAUAAAUGAACUGAGAUAACGAAUAGCAAAUAAAAAAAUAUACAUAAAUAAAAGCAAAACUCACAAUUUCUUA